rnacentral:rRNA from 1 species
UACAGAGGGUGCGAGCGUUAAUCGGAAUUACUGGGCGUAAAGCGCACGUAGGUGGCGACGUAAGUCGGGUGUGAAAGCCCCGGGCUCAACCUGGGAAUUGCAUUCGAGACUGCAUUGCUGGAGUACGGAAGAGGAAGGCGGAAUUCCCGGUGUAGCGGUGAAAUGCGCAGAUAUCAGGAGGAACACCAAUGGCGAAGGCAGCUCGCUGGGACGUGACUGACGCUGAGACGCGAAAGCGUGGGGAGCAAACAGG